rnacentral:rRNA from 1 species
AUUGAACGCUGGCGGCAUGCCUUACACAUGCAAGUCGAACGGCAGCGCGGGGCAACCUGGCGGCGAGUGGCGAACGGGUGAGUAACAUAUCGGAACAUACCCUAGAGUGGGGGAUAACGUAGCGAAAGUUACGCUAAUACCGCAUACGCACUAAGGUGGAAAGUGGGGGAUCUUCGGACCUCAUGCUCAUGGAGUGGCCGAUAUCUGAUUAGCUAGUUGGUGAGGUAAAGGCUCACCAAGGCGACGAUCAGUAGCUGGUUUGAGAGAACGACCAGCCACACUGGAACUGAGACACGGUCCAGACUCCUACGGAGGCAGCAGUGGGGAAUUUUGGACAAUGGGGGGCAACCCUGAUCCAGCAAUG